rnacentral:lncRNA from 10 species
AACUUUAUUAGCAGUGAGUCACAGGAAAGCCUCCAGCAGCUUCCCCCCUUUUCCUUGAUGCCUCCCUUUAGUCUCUAUGAAGUUGCCAGCAAAGCAGAUGCAACCAAGCCAGGGCUCAAUUAGCACAGAGGAGGGAAGGAUCUUUAACAAGCCCUCCCCAGACCGGAAGGAGAGCACACAUCACAGGACGACGGCCUGGAUCCCUGGUAGAUUUGCAGCUCCUGGUUCUAGAUGUUGCUGAGACCUGGCCCUGAAACUACUUGCCUGGGGGUCUCAGAUCUGUGUCCUCAUAAUGCAUCUUCCCUUUUCUGCUGUACAGCAGCUUAAGUGGUUUUGUUUCUUGCAACCAAAGCGGUCUUGAUUAAAAGAGUCUGAAACUAUGGCAUUUUGCAACAUGGACCUACUGAAUAAGCCUCCAAUCUGGAUUUUCUCUAAGCCCUAGAACUAUAUAUCUAACUGCCUGGUGGACUUCUCCACUUGGGGUACUAUAGGCCCCUAAACUCAAUAGCCAUUUUACUGUAAAUGU